rnacentral:rRNA from 1 species
UACAGAGGGUGCAAGCGUUGUUCGGAAUUAUUGGGCGUAAAGCGCGUGUAGGCGGCUUUGCAAGUCGGGUGUGAAAGCCCUCAGCUCAACUGAGGAAGUGCGCCCGAAACUGCAGAGCUUGAGUGCCGGAGAGGGUGGCGGAAUUCCCCAAGUAGAGGUGAAAUUCGUAGAUAUGGGGAGGAACACCGGUGGCGAAGGCGGCUCUCUGGGACGGUACUGACGCUGAGACGCGAAAGCGUGGGGAGCGAACAGG